ensembl:lncRNA
GUCCGUUUCUUUCUCGAGCAUUUCUUGUUGCUCUCUCUCUUGAAUGAACUCCUUAUUUCUGUGCACUUUUUUAUCGAGCUUGAUUUGGAGCAGUCUGUGUUUUUCCUCCAUCUCAUCAAGCUUGGAGUCCAUUUCCUUCUGCUUCAUUUCCAUUUGCUUCUUGUCUUGAAGCAACUGUCGAUUUUUGUGCAGAGUUUUAUCAUGUUUCACCUGCAGAGCUUUGCAUUUUUCCUCCAUGGCUUGGAGUUUGCUCUGCAGGUCUCUCUGCUCUACGGGCUCUUGUUUCUUGUCUUGGAGAAUCUCUUUAUUUCUCUCCAGAGUUUCAUCAAGCAUAACUUGCAAGCCUUCAUUUUGUUUCUCGAUGUUCCUCAGCUUGCACUCCAUUUCUUCCUGAUGUAUUUUCUGUUGGUCUUUGUCGUGAAGCAACUCUUUAUUUCUUUCCAGAGCUUCAUCAAGCAUUACUUGCAAGCCUCUAUUUUGUUUCUCGAUGUGCCUCAGCUUGCAAUCCAUUUCUUGCUGAUGUAUUUUCCGUUGGUCUUUCUCGUGAAGGAACUCUUUAUUCCUUUCCAGAGCUUCAUCAAGCAUUACUUGCAAGCCUCUAUUUUGUUUCUCGAUGUGCCUCAGCUUGCAAUCCAUUUCUUGCUGAUGUAUUUUCCGUUGGUCUUUCUCGUGAAGGAACUCUUUAUUCCUUUCCAGAGUUUCAUCAAGCAUUACUUGCAAGCCUCUAUUUUGUUUCUCGAUGUUCCUCAGCUUGCAAUCCAUUUCUUCCUUUUGUAUUUUUGUUGGUCAUUCUCGUGAAGCAUCUCUGUAUUUUUGAGCAGUGUUUCCUCAAGAGUUAUUUGGAGCAUUUUCAGUUUUUCUUCCAAGACUUCAAGCUUGGAGUCCGUUUCUUUCUCGAGGAUUUCUUGUUGCUCUCUCUCUUCAAUGAACUCUUUAUUUCUGUGCACUGUUUUCUCAAGCUUGAUUUGGAGCAGUCUGUGUUUUUCCUCCAUCUCGUCAUGCUUGGAGUCCAUUUCCUUCUGUUUCAUUUCCAUUUGCUUCUUGUCUUGAAGCAACUGUUGAUUUUUGUGCAGAGUUUUGUCAUGCUUUACCUGCAGCGCUUUGUAUUUUUCCUCCAUGGCUUGGAGUUUGCGCUGCAUGUCUCUCUGCUCGGCCUGUUGUUUCUCUUCUUGGUGGAUUUCUUUAAGUUUCUCCAGAGCUUCAUCAAGCUCUUCUUGGA